CGGGCGUUAUCCGAUUGCGUUCCCUUUUUUUAUUAACCCUUCUCGAAUUUCGAUUGCGUCCGCCAAUGUUAUUCCAACUAUUAAAAUUAAUAUUGUACUGCCCGCGAUAUCAUAUUCGAUAUACUGCAGCAAAUAGAUCGGGGCUGAAACUUUUUUAGAAUGUAAAUACAGUGCGUUUUGUACACAAAUUAUUAUAGACAUUGAAUUUACCGGUAUACCUCCCGGUCGAGAAAUAAACUAUUUAAAACCGUUCGGUACAGUAAUUAAUUUUUUGCAAUAAACUACUGUAAAACAAAAACAGACAAAUACUGUUACAUUAUACUUACUGUACCCGUAAAAAAUUGUCCGUAUUUAACUAUACUACCGUAUAGUAUUCACAUUGUUUAGAUACUACUGGACAAUAACUUACUAAGCGAAAUUAUAUUAUUAUUAAAUCUAAACUAUAAACGCGAUGUAUUUACCUUAAAAAAUCUGCGUGUUUUCACCGUUAUUUUUACAAUAUUGUAUUGCGUAUAUAAUUAUUAAUCUAAUUUGAAUAAUUUAAAACUUAAUUCCGGUUUUUUUUCGGUUUUUACUCGUUGCGGAGUACAAUUUUUAAACGGUAUAAUAUACAAUUUAGAAUUAUCGCUAGUUCCUAACUGUCUCUACGUUAUUAUUCUUGAAUCACGAUUACAAAAAUAUAAUACGGACCUAUUUUUUAUUUUUUUUGUUCGCCUGUUUGAAUACCGACAGGUAAUAUAUUGUACAAGACACUUACAGGUAUCUACGACCGAUAAACAUUAUAAAUGAGAAAACGCCGAAAAGAUAUAAGUAAACAAAAAUAUUUCUACAAGUUUUCGGUGCACAUUAGGGACGUCGUUUCAGUUUUUCAAUAAAGUUGCAAACAUUAGGAUCUGGUAAAUUUUUCUGAAAAUCGGUCACUUCGUUUCCUUUUACCUUACAUUUCCCGCUUUACAAUUUAAUAUUCAAAUACUAAAGGUUUGUUGACAUUACAGUAAUGUCGAUACUAAACUACGACCGUAGUAUAUUUUUUCACGUGCACUUCACUCAUUAUACCUUAGUUCACUCCGCCGGUCGCGCACUGUUAUCUUGCUAACUUACUUGUUUAUUUAGCCGUGAUAAGAAUUAACAGUUGAUAAUAAACCGUGGUGAGAAUCCCCCGUGUUGUUUCACUGCCAUACGCCACAGACGGUCGGACCCUUGUAGAAGCGGGAAGCGAUUCGAUUACCAUUUACCGAUUUUACAUUUUAUCGACAACGGCGCAAUGUCAUAGCACUUUAUGCGGGCCGAGAAAACAUUUAAAAAAAAUAUGGGGCUGCCAAAGUGUUGUCCGAAUUCCUCAAACGACGCCUCCGGUGCACGCAGUGUGU